rnacentral:rRNA from 1 species
UGAGUGCGAGUUGCUACGGCAACGAAGUUGGUGACGUCAAGCUUCCAAGAAAAGCCCUAUACCCGUUAAGGCAUCAUGGCCUGUACCCGAAACCGACACAGGUGGGGUGGUAGAGAAUACCGAGGGGCGCGAGGUAACUCUCUCUAAGGAACUCGGCAAAAUGGCCCCGUAACUUCGGGAGAAGGGGUGCCACCGCAAGGUGGUCGCAGUGAAGAGGCCCAGGCGACUGUUUACCAAAAACACAGGUCUCCGCUAAGUCGCAAGACGAUGUAUGGAGGCUGACGCCUGCCCAGUGCCGGAAGGUUAAGGAAGCCGGUUAGCGUAAGCGAAGCUGGCGACUGAAGCCCCGGUGAACGGCGACCGUAACUAUAACGGUCCUAAGGUAGCGAAAUUCCUUGUCGGGUAAGUUCCGACCCGCACGAAAGGCGUAACGAUCUGGGCGCUGUCUCGGAGAGAGGCUCGGCGAAAUAGAAUUGUCUGUGAAGAUGCGGACUACGUGCACCCGGACAGAAAGACCCUAUGAAGCUUUACUGUAGCUUGGUAUUGUGCUCGGGCUCGGAAUGCGCAGGAUAGGUGGGAGGCUAUGAACCAUUGCUUGUGGGUGAUGGUGAGCCACUGGUGAGAUACCACUCUUUCCGAGCUAGAGUUCUAACGGCCACCCGUUAUCCGGGGGCCGGACAGUAUCAGGUGGGCAGUUUGACUGGGGCGGUCGCCUCCUAAAAGGUAACGGAGGCGCGCAAAGGUUUGCUCAGGCUGGUUGGAAAUCAGCCGACGAGUGUAAAAGCAGAAGCAAGCUUGACUGUGAGACCUACAAGUCGAACAGGGAGGAAACUCGGCUUUAGUGAUCCGACGGUUCUGCGUGGAAGGGCCGUCGCUCAACGGAUAAAAGUUACUCUAAGGAUAACAGGCUGAUCUCCCCCAAGAGUUCACAUCGACGGGGAGGUUUGGCACCUCGAUGUCGGCUCAUCGCAACCUGGGGCUGAAGUCGGUCCCAAGGGUUGGGCUGUUCGCCCAUUAAAGCGGUACGCGAGCUGGGUUCAGAACGUCGUGAGACAGUUCGGUCCAUAUCCGGUGCAUGCGCAGGAAUAUUGAGAGGAUUUCUCCCUAGUACGAGAGGACCGGGAGGAACGCACCUCUGGUGUACCAGUUAUCGUGCCAACGGUAAACGCUGGGUGGCCAUGUGCGGAGAGGAUAACCGCUGAAAGCAUCUAAGUGGGAAGCCCACCUCAAGAUGAGUAUUCCCAUGGCGUUAGCCAGUAAGGUCACGGGAAGAACACCCGUUGAUAGGCUCUAUGUGGAAGCGCAGUAAUGCGUGAAGCAGAGGAGUACUAAUAGACCGAGGGCUUGACCAA